AGAUUCCAUUGGGCAUUCCAGAAUACAUCUUAUUAUGUCCUACAAGAAUUCCCUUUCAGCAAAAUAUCUCUUGCUGAAGAUCAAGUGUGUGUGCUGCCGAAGUGAACACAGCAAGACCUUCGCUUCAGCGCAGGGUCUGGCACAGAAUGGGCCAUCGCCCAAAAAUUGAGGAAAUUUCUACAUCUAAGAAAAUGGAACCAUUUUUGGAUCAAAAUAUCUGUAAAACUGCAAUCUGAGCAGAUGUAAGCAUUGAUAAACCAGACCACAUUUCAGCCUUUAAAUACAGGCCACAGACAUACAGCCAGGAGCUCCCUUUGGUGAUCUUUCCUCUGGGUGAAAGAGUUGACAGCAAAGAAAGUCCUCAGUUCUGACACGUUUACCAGCUCACUCUUGUCUCUGAGCCUGCGGUUUGCCUGACACACUGAACAAGUCCACAAGGCUUCAGAGAAUCUGAGAUAUUCCUGGGA